UUUUAGUCAAAAACAAAUAAAAAAUAUUGCGAAUCUCUUCUGUUUCAUAAUAUCAAAUUGUCCGUGCGAUGACGACCAAUACGAAUUAUUCCAUUCCGAAGGCGAGCUCCGUAAUUCUGGCGGGUCUUGGCGUGGCCGCCGUGGGAUUCGCCGGAAAGCACCUGAUGCGCCGCAUGCCCCAGAUGACCACCAAAUUCAACGAGGCCCUCAAGAACCUGCCCAAAUUCGAUGCGGAGAGCAUGGCCGCAUGCAAAUACUACAAGGGCGGCUUCGAUCCCAAGAUGAACAAGCGGGAGGCGUCCCUAAUCUUAGGUGUCAGCCCCAGUGCGUCCAAGAUAAAGAUUAAGGACGCGCACAAGAAGAUCAUGCUGUUGAACCAUCCGGAUCGAGGAGGAUCUCCCUAUUUGGCGGCCAAGAUCAACGAGGCCAAAGACUUUCUGGACAAAGCGAAGUAGUCAUCCCUUCCCCGCCAUUCGGUGCAAAUAAAGUAGUAGUUCGUGAUUAGAAUGUUCGCGUUAGGUUCUCACGCUGGAUAGGAGAAGACCAGACUUUCGAGAGCCAGAUCAUAGUUUGCUCAGACCAUUGUUGAGUCCGCCAGAAGAACUAUAAAUAGUGGUGGCAAAGCACCAGAACGACCACGACAGAUGCGACCACCACAACGACCACCGCCUCGUCCUCGGACACCACUACCACGACUGCCUCGUCCUCGGACACCACGACCACCACGGAAGCGUCCUCUUCCAAGAAGGAGAAGCACGUGACCCACUACAAGCGCAAGGUGCACCGCCCCAAGAAGAUCAGGAAGAUCCGCCGCAACAGGAACAGGAGGAACAGGAACCGCAGCGCUUAAACUGCUAGAGAAAAUCCACAACCCCCUUCCCCGAUACCCAAGAUCCCGAUUCCCGAUUCCCAAUUAGCUUUAUAAUUUUACAUUAUUUGCAUUAUGGCAUCAAUAAAAUGAUACUUAAAAAAAUGA